GAAUUGAACUUAGUUCUUGUUUCUUUUUCCCGCCAUGAUCAGCUUGAUGAACAGUCAAAUAACUGGGGUUUCGGUGUAUGAUGAAGACUUCUUCCUUAUUCUUUUUCCUUGGAGGGGUUGUUGUGCUGAUUAUACUGUUGAUUAUCGGGUUAAUCAAUUGGAAAAUUUGACGACCAAGGGGGACCAAGAGUUUUGCAUCGGAGAGUAAAAGGCAUGCAGCAUCGCCGGAUUUCUUUAGCGGCGAUCUUCGAAGUGUUUUCUAUUUUGACGUCCGGACAUUGAAGGGCAACCAAGAAUUUUCACCCUGAUAAUCUCCUUGGCAAAGGUGGAUUUGGACCUGUUACAAAGGAAAGCUAAGAGAUGGAAGAAUGGUUGCUGUGAAAAGACUGUCCCAUGAGAGAUCCCAACAAGGAGAGUCGGAGUUUCUUUCGGAGGUGAGGUUGAUCACAAGCAUCCAACACAAAAACUUGGUUCGCCUUCUGGGAUGCUCCGAUGGGUCUCAACGUCUACUUAUCUAUGAGUUUAUGAAGAAUGGCAAC